rnacentral:rRNA from 1 species
AUUGAACGCUGGCGGCAGGCCUAACACAUGCAAGUCGAGCGGCGAGGGGGACGGGGGGGUAAGGCCUGGGUAUCUGCCCGGUCGUGGGGGAUAACGCACAGAAACGGGCGCCAUUACCGCAUCCUUUCAGAAGAGCAUCGGUCGGAUUAGCUAGUGGGUGGGGGAAAGGCCUACCAAGGCGACGAUCCGUCACUGGUCUGAGUGGGUGAUCCGUCACACUGGAACUGAGACACGGUCCAGACUCCUACGGGAGGCAGCAGUUGGGAAUAUUGGACAAUGGGCGAAAGCCUGAUCCAGCCAUGCCGCGUGUGUGAAGAAGGUCUUCGGAUUGUAAAGCACUGUUAGUGGGGAGGCGUUACCUACAGAAAAAGCACCGGCUAACUACGUGCCAGCAGCCGCGGUAAUUC